rfam:Mesocricetus auratus contig215311, whole genome shotgun sequence.
UUUUCAGUCAGGCUUGGCCUAAGUCCAGCUAACAGCUGGAUUUUAGGCCGAAGCCUGACUGGAAA